rnacentral:rRNA from 1 species
UACGUAGGUGGCAAGCGUUAUCCGGAUUUAUUGGGCGUAAAGGGAACGCAGGCGGUCUUUUAAGUCUGAUGUGAAAGCCUUCGGCUUAACCGGAGUAGUGCAUUGGAAACUGGGAGACUUGAGUGCAGAAGAGGAGAGUGGAACUCCAUGUGUAGCGGUGAAAUGCGUAGAUAUUUGGAAGAACACCAGUGGCGAAAGCGGCUCUCUGGUCUGUAACUGACGCUGAGGUUCGAAAGCGUGGGUAGCAAACAGG